ACGAACGCUGGCGGCGUGCUUAACACAUGCAAGUCGAACGAGGACUAGAGUGCUUGCACUCUAUAGCCGAGUGGCGAACGGGUGAGUAACACGUGACCAACCUGUCUUCAGGGCGGGGGCAACGUCGGGGAAACCCGGACUAAUACCGCAUAAUGUCUUUUCUCACAUGGGAUUUAGAACCAAAGAGGGCCUCUGCUUGCAAGCUCUCACCUGAUGAGGGGUCGCGGCGUAUCAGCUUGUUGGUGAGGUAACGGCUCACCAAGGCUACGACGCGUAGCGGGGUCUGAGAGGACGAUCCGUCACAUUGGGACUGAGAUACGGCCCAGACUCCUACGGGAGGCAGCAGUGGGGAAUAUUGCACAAUGGGCGAAAGCCUGAUGCAGCAACGCCGCGUGCACGAUGAAGGCUCUAGGGUUGUAAAGUGCUUUUCUGGAGGAAGAGAAUGGACGGUACUCCAGGAAUAAGGAUCGGCUAACUACGUG
rnacentral:rRNA from 1 species